rnacentral:rRNA from 1 species
CCAACAAUGGACAACCUUUAAAGACCAUUCGCUACUGUGCCCCUUUUACAUAAUGUACUUCAUCAUGGAUAUUAUUGUUUCGCCAGUUGAAAGUUUUUGCCAAUCCAAGACAUUGGGAGCAUGAUUACAUUUUAUAGGCGACAAACAAAGUGCCAGCAGUCGCGGUCACACUUUAGCUUAAAGUAAAAAUUUACAGAAUGCUUAUAAGUGAAAAAGAAAUUUUUGUAGUGAAAUAUAAAAAUUAAUUAAUAUCUUUAUAACUUUUAAUAAAUAUAAAAACUGACCUCAAACAAGGAUUAGAUACCCUUUUAUGCAGUGAGCAACAAUUCAUUCUAGGUAGUAAUAUUACUCAGGAUUCAAACCCAAAUAGCAUGGCGGUAGUUAAAAUAUUUAGGGGAACUUACUAAUUUAAUGAUAACCACCAAGAUCAUGUACGGCACUUAAUAUUUUACAUACCGUCGUCGUCAGAUAUACUAUAAUAGAAUAUCAUAAUAUAUACAAUAAUAAAAAGACAGAUCAAGGUGUAGACUAUGGUGUUGUUUUAGCGAGUUACUAUAAUAAAUAUAUUCACUUAGCAACUUUAAAGUUGUUACCUGUAGGACUUAAAAGUAAUAUUUAAUAUAUAUAUUAUAUGAAUACUUUUUUAACUGUGC